rnacentral:tRNA from 1 species
GUAGUUCAGCCUGGUAGAACGCUUGCAUGGGGUGCAAGAGGUCGUGAGUUCGAAUCUCGCC